rnacentral:rRNA from 1 species
UACGUAGGAGACGAGCGUUGUCCGGAAUUACUGGGCGUAAAGCGCGUGUAGGCGGAUGAGCAAGUCUGCUGUGAAAGCUCCUGGCUUAACCGAGGAAGUGCAUCCGAAACUGGCGAGCUAGAGUACGAAAGAGGAUCGCGGAAUUCCCGGUGUAGAGGUGAAAUUCGUAGAUAUCGGGAGGAACACCUGUGGCGAAAGCGGCGCACUGGACCACAACUGACGCUGAGGCGCGAAAGCUAGGGGAGCAAACAGG